CUACAUUUACAAAACAUUGCUCUGUUUACUGCAUUAAAAGAUAUCAGCAAAAUGUUUGUUUAUUACAGUUCGUAUUACAACUAUCCUAGGGUAUGGUUUAGUAGCAGCACACCAGCCGCUUUGAUAAAGUGGAAAAUGUAACAAUUAUGCUACUUCAUGGAAAGCUUGCAGAUGCAGAGUACGCUUUAUAUUUACUAACCCCAGUCAUGUUUUCGUUUUAAAUACUUGGUAUAUUCGCAUAGAGCUCAGUCAGUUGUAACAGAUCGUCUUUGGAUGGGAACUCGAAGACUUAUGCAUUUUUUAGUGUUGAAUUGGUUUGGUGGGUCUGAUAAAACGUUCCUCAGACUGAUCGAUAUUUGUAUCUAUUACAUAAUUAAAACUCAUUACAGUGAUCAAAUCGAAUAUGGAUGAGUCACAGUGAACGUCCUCUAGGACCUCAGGAUAUGACGGAAAUAUCAGCGACACGCACGCUGCAACUAAGCACUACCUGAGUGAAUGAGGCCUGAUACUCUCAGAAUCGGCAGGAAAUUAAUCAGUCCUACACCUUAAGCAGAAGGUACAAAGCGUCCCUGCUUGGCAAACCAGAGUUCGAUAAAUAGACAAUCACACUCUCUCAGAAAAUGUUGCUGAAAUCACCAAUCAAUCUAUAAAUGUAUGCACAUUGGAAGUAAGCCUGAAAAAGCAAAAACAAAACCUCUUGAAUCUCCCACCUCAAAUCAAAUCAAAUCAAAGCGAUCCGAACUGGGUUUGAUGAGGUUCUUACACUGAUAAGGACAUUGUAUACUAGUGGAUAAAAACGCUUCAAUGUGUAAUGUUGACGAUAAGUUGUUUAGAAAUUCGAAUCUCUUUUAUCUGAAUAUUAUUAUUAAGUUAACGCGCGCGUAAAAAUGCAAUAAAACUCAUCUACUCAAGUUGCAGCCAUUUAGGCAGCUUGGUUAAUUACAACAAUCAGAUAUACAGGAUGUUCUUUAAGUACGUAGGUAGCCUGUAAUGUUCAGUGAAUCAAAUUUUGGCAAAUUGCGUUUUACCAGAAAAAAAAAUAGUUUGUAAAUUUCUAAAUAGUUUCUAGACAUAGUAGACAUUAUGUUUCAUUAAAACUUUCUGUAUGAUAAA